UUUAAUUACCAUAUAUAAAAGUGAAAAUAUAAAAUAUAAAUUAAUUUUAGUUGGGGCAACUGGGAGGGAUAAAAAUCUUUUAUUAAAUCAUUUAUAGUAAUAUUUAUAUUUAUGAUCCAAAUUAGUUAAUUUUGAACUUAGAAU
rnacentral:rRNA from 1 species